rnacentral:rRNA from 1 species
GGGGGAAUUUUGGACAAUGGGCGCAAGCCUGAUCCAGCCAUGCCGCGUGCGGGAAGAAGGCCUUCGGGUUGUAAACCGCUUUUGUCAGGGAAGAAAUCCUUUGGGCUAAUACCCCGGGGGGAUGACGGUACCUGAAGAAUAAGCACCGGCUAACUACGUGCCAGCAGCCGCGGUAAUACGUAGGGUGCAAGCGUUAAUCGGAAUUACUGGGCGUAAAGCGUGCGCAGGCGGUUAUGCAAGACAGAUGUGAAAUCCCCGGGCUCAACCUGGGAACUGCAUUUGUGACUGCAUAGCUGGAGUGCGGCAGAGGGGGAUGGAAUUCCGCGUGUAGCAGUGAAAUGCGUAGAUAUGCGGAGGAACACCGAUGGCGAAGGCAAUCCCCUGGGCCUGCACUGACGCUCAUGCACGAAAGCGUGGGGAGCAAACAGGAUUAGAUACCCUGGUAGUCCACGCCCUAAACGAUGUCAACUGGUUGUUGGGAAGGUUCCUUCUCAGUAACGUAGCUAACGCGUGAAGUUGACCGCCUGGGGAGUACGGCCGCAAGGUUG